ACAGAUGUACAGGUACAAAUAGUAAUACUGAGAAGCCGGCUUGAUACAGUGUCCAUUUAGCAAAACAACAAUGUUGGUUUUCCCCCAGGGCCUCUGAGCACCCCAGUCAUGGGCUUUAGCCUGUAUUUCCAGGACCAGGCAUGGAUUUCCUCCUAUGUGGUGAGCCUUGAAUCUCUCUGAACAGUUGGUUACUUCCACAUCAGUCAGGCCGCUAUUGAACCACGGGGCACAUCUUGCCGGCAGGUCAGUGCUGUAGUUCUCAGGGUUCAAGGCCAAGCUAAAACUGACAACCUUUCUCCUCCAGAAGCCUACAUUUGGGUGUUGACCUUGAACCUCUGCCUCAGCAGGCUGAGUAGUUGGGAUGAGAAACCUAAGCUGCACAACUUUGACAACUUCAAGCAGCUGCGAAUACUUUCUUUCAGGGUCAAUGAGACCACUCCAGUUUGGUCCCUGUUACUGUAUCACACACAAUAGGAAGGACUCAAAAUUGAGGUGCAUUUGUGUGAAGAGAAACCCCUCAAGGUCUGGUUCUUCCUGGGUCUGUUUCUGCUGGUGACCCUGGGCACUUGUGAAAAGCUAGCCCUCUGUUAUAACCGCCAUAAGUGGAUUCCACACACAGGACUCCCAAAGGAGAAAACAGUUCACUGAUACUUGAGUCCAGUUGCAACCAUUUGGGAGGAGGGUGAAUGAGGAUGAACUUAUUUGCAUUUUGCCCUCCCUUCUUGGUUGAGAAAAUUUGCAGUUAUUUAUUUUUAUUUUUUAUGUUUAUAGGUGUUUUGUCUGCACAUCAUUUGCACGCCUGUGGACACCAGAAAAGGGUAUCAGACCCCUUGGGACUAGAAUCCAGAUAGUUGUGAGCUGCCAUGUGGCUGCUAGGAAUUGAACCCGGGUCUUCUGGGUUCUUAACCACUAAGCUAUCUCUCCAGACUGAAAUUUUGCAUUUUGGAAGUGACUGGGGAUACCAAGCCUUUUUGGUCAGGAGGAAUGGUUCAGGAGCAAAGCCAUCUUCUGGCUCCUGUGCGAUAGUAGACUGUUCCCCUGGCUCUUGGAGAGCAAAUCUGCCAUUAUAGUUCAGUGGAAUGGCUGGCUGGGGACUCCGGACUGGAUCUAAGCCCUGCCGGCAUCGGUGGGAUAAUAGUCCACACCUACAUGAACCCCAAGGUCCCGCUUCACUCUCUGCGGCUACACCUCGGUGUGAAACUCACACUCACCCAUUUUCCACAAGUGGGAACAGACUGUAGAUGCUGAGUCUAAGCUUCCUAAACUUGUCUAUUCUCAGAAUCGUGUGUGUGUGUGUGUGUGUGUGUGUGUGUGUGUGUGUGUGCUGGGGGGAAUCUUGGGAGGGACCUGCCAUGAGAUACACAGGCCAGAGAAAGAGGGAGGAAGAGAGAGGAGGAGGGAGAGGGAGCCAGGGAGCACUCUGUCCUCAGCUGCCCCUAGCCCUCGCCUCCUCCCAUUUCUUGGCCUCUCAGCAUCUCUGUCACAUCUAGAGUCAGAUCUAAUGUGUCCUCGUACCCCAGAGGAGUGCACAGUCUGAUGGGGGGCAGGUGUCUUAGUCAUUUCCCAUUCAGGAGGACACAGCCUUCCCGAGGGCUCCUUGUGUCAGGAAGUCAGUCCUCCUGUUCCCACUACUUUACAAUGUCUCCUCCAGGAAGCCCCAAAGUCCCCACCAGAGCCACUCUCUGCUCCACUGGGUCUGCACAGCCCUGUCUUCCCAAACACUCUCCGGGGCCGGGCCCCUCAGCAGUCAGUGGUGGGGCAAUGGCUUCACUUCCUGUGGGUCUCUCCAUAACUGGAAAGACUGUGAGGCCUAUUCCCGAGUGCUCAGGUCUAUAGUUGUGCAUGGGCUCAGCCUGUACACCAGGCUUAGCUGUCUCACCCUCUGAACCUCAGCUUCCUUGUUGAUUGCACAAUGACCUGUUUCUACAAUGGCCUGGAGAUCUAGAGAGAUGACUCACAACAUCCAUUCCAUUUCAUAUGUUAUUAGUGUGCCUGUGUGUGUUUGGGUGCAUGUGCCAUGUCUUGGCAUGCAUGUGAGGGUCAGAGAACAACUUUCAGAAUUUCUCUUUCCGCUAUAGGUUCUGGGGAAUGAACUAAGACUGUCAGGCUCACGUGGCAAGCCUCUACCUGUAAGGCAUCUCCCUGGCCCUUCUCACCAUGUGUAAGUGUGGAUGGUGCGUGUGCAUGCUGGAAUGUGUGUGCACAUGUGUGCAUGCGGAGGCACAGGACUGGCAUCAGAAGUCUUCCCUGACUGCUAUCUACCUUCUUAGUCUUGGCAGGGUCUCUCAUGGGCACCCAGUGCUUGGGGUCUGGCUAGUCGAGUUGGCCAGCUUGCUCUAGGGAUCCUUGUCUCUGUCACACCCACCUGCCUGGCAUUUACAUGCAGGAAGGAUUUGGACUCCAGCCUUCACACUCGCACCCGUGCUCUGGCCACACCCACCUUCCCAUCCUCCUGACAAGUGACCAGCAGCACCAGCUAAGCUGAACUAAUGUCAGCCAUUCCUAGGCCCUCCUCUACCAAAUAGCUUCUCCCUCACUGAAUGUGAGGGGAAGAGGAAUACUCAGUUUCCCACCAGCUCUCCCCCAAGCCACCAGCUCCCACACAGUAAAGGAAACCGAGGCCCGGAGAAGGAAAGGAGCUUGCUUGAGGCUACACAGUGUGAUCCCACAGGGACCCUAGGCCCCCUAAGUCUCAAAGCAGCGCUCAGCACUCCCCUUUCAGGGUCAGUCUGCUGCUCAGGCCCCAGAGCCCCAGGCUGACUCAUCCAGCUGUCCUCUCCCUUGCCCAGUGUUUAGGAGACAGCUGUCCUGGCUGAUGAGCUGCUGAGCAUUCUGAAGGUCCCCAAGAUGGCCUGGUGAUGAGUCAGGAUUUGCAGUUAGCAGCAAGUCACAGAAACCCGGCCAUGGUGGCUUAAACAGGAAGCACGGGGCCUUGCAGGAGGCAGGCAGAGCUGGGCAGCCUCUCCAGACGCCUUCUGGUUUCUCCAGCCUGCGGCUCUCAUUCUCAGCACAAAGCUUUACCUCCACCAGACAGAAACACUGGGGAAGGAGGGAGGAAAAAAAAAGACCCCUUACAGGAUGUUCCAAAGAUGAAUCUAGAGAUAUGCAGAGCGUCCAGAGGUGCGCGCUGGCACCAGGGUAACCCCGGAUGGGCAAAGUCUUGCUGUGUGCACAUCUUCUGGCACUUCCUAUGGCUGUUCUCGGGACAGAGGAUGGUGUUCAGCUGACGGACUUGAGUUACCGGGAUGCCCGGAAUGUCCAUGAUGUGUGCACAGCCUGUCUGCUGGUCCCUUGGCCUCCGGUGAUGAGGCCCUCAGUGCGGUAUUCCUGAUGCCCUACAGUCCCAGGAUGAUGUUUCUGGCCACUUGGAUACAUCAGUGACAACUGCAAACCCGGAUUUCAUCACACACAAGGGUGUGUGAAACAGUAAGCAGGCACGCUGGAGACGCAGCUCGGUCUGUAAACUGCUGGCCUCAUGAACGGGGGGACCCAUGACCCACCCUUAGCGCCAGGGAAACGCUGGCACAGGAGGGCUGGAAAGAUGCCUCAGCGGUUAAGAGCACCGGCUGCCCUUGCAGAGGACCCGGGUUCAGUUCCCAGCACCUGCACGGUGGCUCACGGCUGUCUCCUCCAGUCCCCUCUGUUGUCCUCUGAGGACACUGCAUGCUAGAUACUUAUGUGCACACUCGUAUACAUGAAACGAUGUUUUAAAACAAAUGUUAGGCCUGGUGGUUUGCUCCUGCAAUUCCAGCAACCGGGGAGGCUGAGACGGGAACAUCCCACGGGGCCUGCUGAACGCCAAGGCUUGCUGAAUUAAUGAGCUUCAGCUCUAAAAAGAAAAAAAAAAAAAAAAAAAAAAAAGAUGGAAAGUGUUUGAGAGAGGCACCUCUAGCCUCCACACACAAGCACGCACACCCGUCCGUGGGAGUCUUCGGACAUUGUCCUGAGUGAUCUGACUGCUUGCCCAGCCACUGCCACCGGGCGUGGGCGUCUACUGUGUGCUGGCUGCUCCUUGCUGGGGACUUUGGCCCCUCAAAGGAGCACAUCCAUCAAGUCAGAGGUCUCAGGCGUUCAUUUCCUUGUUCUGUGCAGACGCUUGCUGAGCCCCUGUGGUGGACCAGCCUGGAGCAGAUCAGAGAGGCAAGGUGGGCGGAGUGUCACGGCUUCUCUCUUCCCUCGGGGCUCAGGCUCCCUGACUCAGGGGCAGAAUCUAGCGCUCAGCGUGGCCACGUUUUGAUGGGAGGGGCACACGCUGCUCAGUUAAACAUGCACUUCCUGUGAGAGCAGUGGGGCGGAGACUGGAUGUUAAACCAAAGCAGACACAUUAGAGCUCUCCUUGGAGGUGGCUUCAAAAAUCCACUCCAUCAUUCUUCCUCUCCCUCCCCGUCCCCUCUCCUCCCUUAUCUCCUUUUCUUUAUUUUUUAUCUACGCGUUCCUGUCGUGCAGAGGCCAGAGGUUGACAGUAGGUGUCUUCCUCAAUCACUCUCCGCGAUAUUCUUUCAGACAGGGCCUCUCACUAGACCUGAAGCUCAUUGAUUCUGUACUGUUGGCCAGUUUGCUCCAGUGAUGCUCCUGUCUCUGCCACAGCAGCCUCGGAGUUACAGGGCUGUGAUACCACACCAGGCAUUUUACUUGGUGCCUGGAUUCGAACUCAGAUGCUCACGCCUGUGCAGCAGGCUGUCUGCUGGCCAAGCCAUCUCUCCAGUCCCCUUUCCUGUGUUUUUGGAGAUAAGAUGGGCAUAGGUGCUUCCCCUGAAACUCACAGGGCUCCUGUGGCUUUCCAGGGACGUGCCACCAUGCCGAGGGACAGUCAUGGAUCUCUGCGGUUUUGGGGCAUUCAUGCGCACAAACACGGGGAAGUUAAGAGGCCACGCAUGGCCUCUUCCUGCAGUCUCUCAUACAAGCCCCCACCCCAAGCUAUCAUCACUGUCCUUUCUUGGUGUGAACACGCCAAUCACAAGUGCACCAUUUCUAAGGCGUACCACCCUGUGCACUGAGGCCAGGCGGGGAGAAGGAGGCACGCAGGCAGGGAGGUGCGGGUGCCGCCCAGCACAGGAUCGACAGGGCUGGGUGCUAGGAAAGUCAGCAUCAAGCAGACUGACGAGAUCGGACAGACUGUCAGAGGAUGCCCUCGGAUGCUGAAGAAGG